UACCUGUUCUUGUCCUUGUUUAGUAUCUGGUUCCGUGAGAUCUGUCUUUGCCUAGUUUCUGCUGAUCGCCUGAGUCACUGCCUGUUUUUGACCUGGACCUUUCUUCAUAUUUUGGAUGGUACGGAAAUUGUAAAGCAGCUCAUCUCUUUUAACCAGAAUGAACAAAUGUGGACAGUGGAUGAAAUGAGCUGGCACUUAAGAUGACAUAUCAGGAUUAAAAUCUGACUAUUUUCUACCUGUUCUUAUCCUUGUUUGGUGUCUGGUUCCAUGAGGUCUGUCUUUGCCUAGUUUAUGCUGAUCUCCUGAGUCACAGCCUGUUUUUGACCUGGACCUUGCUUCAUAUUUUGGAUGGUUUGUCUGACUGCUAGAUCUAGAACAAAGUUUGCGGUUGUAAAAAAUGGACUGAUCAUGCAGUGACACUGUCUGAAAAAAAUCUGUCUCUCUCAUCUAUCUAUCUCUUUCAUCAACUACCAAUCCCUCAAUCAAGGAAAAAUAAGUUUCCUCCCAAGAUAACUCAUCCACAGGAUAUUUGUCUUUCACAUUCUGCUCAAGGUCUCUGCUGUACACCAGGACAAUGCAACAGUUUGUGAGUCAAUAAUCUUUUUUCCUUAUUGGUUAUGUAAUAACUGAACUUUGAACUACAAUACCAAGCCUACGCUCCGCUCCACAAAGGUCAUUUACUUUAUUGGUUACGUAAUAAUAGAAAUAACUUAAAGACCACACCUUACACUCCUCCCCUCCCACACUUACAUUAUCUACUGAUUGAUACAGUACCUGUUUCGAUUACAUUAACCCUUU